CGGUUGAUUUUAUUUUAUUUUUGACAUCAACAAUAUAAAUUAAUUUUUGUUGUAAAUAGAUUGAUUUUCUUUUUCUUAUUAAUGACUCUCAUGAAAAUUAAGGGACACGAUGCCAAACUUUCCAUGUGCCAUGAAGAUCAAAUUGAAUUGAACAUGCCAAAAUAGCUCAAUGAGAGGGGCCUUUUACAUGAACCAAUUUUUUCUGUCCAUGCAAUGUCUUAUUCUAACUUAACAAGAAUUCCAUUCUCUCUCUUUGCCCAAUUGAUUAUGAGGUGUUUCCUCAUUUUCAAACCUGGCAAAACCAAAAAUAAUUCCUAAAACUCCUUCUUGGCUGCAAACGCAGGCAAUUGUAUGAGAAAAUACCUUUGCGGGUGCGUGCUCACUUCUCUUUCUGUCAGCCCAAAACUCCACUUCUCUCUUGUCUUUACAGCUCAGACUACUGAAACUUUCUCUUCUGCUUAUAUCUCUUCACGUCCACUUUUCUUUCUCUAGAUGUAUCUAUAGAACUCUUGACUUAUCUUAGUAUUGAGGGUUGAGCUCUUCAUCAUGAUGACUAUGUUCUUUCGUUUGUUUGGAUUACUGCAUAUGGAUAAGAUCGUAUUUAAUUUUUUUGAUGAAUGUGUAUGUAUGUAUAUUAAUCUCAUACUAUAAUAAUAAGAAUAAUAUGUGAUGGAGCUUGAAAUUGGAAAGCGUGACUUUUCAUUGUUCUCUAUUUGCCUUUGAUGAGGACGAACCACUUGAAGGUACGCCUGGUUACUGUUCAUACCUUAACGGAAAACUAUGAUUUUCUUUGGAAUUUUUUUGUCCUUUCUCGUUUUCACCUUCUUCUUUGCUUAUCAAAUUCAAAACCGUCUUCUUCCCCCUCCUCCUCUUUGUUUUGACCUCCAAUUUUGGGUGUUUUCUCCCCUUUUAGCUUGUCCCAGCUUCGCUACCUUAUGUUUUUGCUUCGUCUUUGUGAUCUGGAUUUGGUUGACAUGAAAACUUGUGUCUUUGACUUGAUAAUUAUUUACCCUAAAAUGAGAAAAAUGGUUUGUUUUCACUUCUGGGAAAAUAUGCUCGACUUUGUAGCCAUCAAUGAAGUUUCCCAAGAAGGCAAUCUUCUUGUACAGCACCAUUUGUUGUUUGGUUCUGGGGAGCAACAACAAACAGCUUCUAUUUCCUGGGGUUUAAUCACUCAGGCACACAAGGUAUGACAGAUUGAAAAUGAAUGAGAAUUGCUCAUGAUGUUGUCUUAGGACCUGGUUAAAAUCGAAACUAACAUCGCUUGAGCUGAUGCGACAUAUUUUUGGCAUAAUUAAUGCAUGAGACAUGAGUUUCUUAUGUAGGGUUGCAAACAAGCAAAAGAACCCAAAAAAAUUAGAUUUCAGAGAAAGAGAGUUUCUUUUUUCCUUCUGGGUCAAAUCUUCUCUGUAAAAGUAUAUAUAGUUAGAAUUUUUUCUAAAAAUGGCCUUGAUAGGUCUUAUCAAUCUUAGCAUAAUGUGUUAACAUAUGAAAAUAAUACUAUCUCGACUUUGUUUGAUGAUUUUUAAUAAUUUUUUA